ACCAAGCGGCUCACAGGAAAAAGGGGGAGGCGCGGGAAAAAAGCGGCGGGAAGGAAAGGGAGAGGCGAGGCCCGUUACGGUCCGUGAGGCGAGCGAGGAGCGGGAAAGGGGCUGGGAGGCGGCGGCUGCUCCGUGGAGCCCUCGCGGGACGCGCCGCCGACGGACCCCCCGCUUCCAGCACGGUGGGAUCGGUUCAUGAAUAAUUUAUUUCAAAAGCACCGCCCUCCCCGAGCCCGAGAGCCGAGGUUUCAGGCAGUGACCUCAGGAGCUGGCGGAGAUUGACGGAGUUUGACGGACAUUUCCGAAGCACUGCCGGAAGUGGGCGGAGAUGGCCGAACAGCCUCCGGACGGUGACGGAAAUGAUCGAAGUUAACCCGAGCUGCCCGAACGCUGACGGAAAGAGACGGAGCUGGCCGAAGUAUUGGCGGAAGUUAUCGAAAGGUGCCGAACAAGGAGCGGAAGAUGCCGGAAGCUGCCGAAUUUCUCACGAAAGAUGCCGAAGCAAAGGCGGACGGUGCCGGAAAUGGGCGAAGCGGCGCUCCCGCCGCAGCCUGCGCAGCCCCGGCCUCGCCAGCCCGGUCCGGCCGCCCCCGGCGCUCCCGACCCGGCUGUGGCCGCUGGGAAAGGCCGAGGCUUCGGGGCCUGUCCCGGAGUGGUGGGGAAAGGGCAGGAGAGGCGCAGUGGGAGUGGAGGAGUAUUUUUAGGAGCGGGAAGGGGGAAUUUGAGCAGAGAUUAGGUGCGCAAUUAAGGGCUUGAAGGUUGUUGGUAGAGCUGGAGGGGAUGUGGGGUUAUAAUUUCCUAUAUAUAGGAAAGGGCUAUUUAGAGAGGAGCAGUUAUACACAAGCAGGGGGUGUUUUGGGGCAGAAGUCGGACUUGUGAGGGACAACUGGAUCGGUAAAAGAAUGAUUGAGGGGAGCAGGAGAGUUCUGGAGGGACAGGAAGGACGAGGAGGGCAUAAGUGGAGAAAUAAAAAAGGAGAAUUUUGGUGUUUGGAGGUCAGGGAGAAGUAUUCAGGCGGAGCUGGGGGUUUUGGGGACAAUUAUGGCAAGAAAAGGGGUAUUUGGGGGUGAACAGCAGAGGGGAGAAUUUAGGGAGAAGGAAAAUAGUGUUUUGUGGGGAGCAUGAGAGGUUGGAGGGAUUUUGGGGACAGAGGAGGAGCAGUUCAGGGAGCAGGGGGCAAGUUUAGGGGUCAGGAGUGAGGGGAGCGUCCCCCUUUUCACCAGGGGUGUCCCCUGCACUGGGGUGACACGGAGUGUGACAUCACAGGGUGUGACUGUGGGUGUCACCGUGCCAUGAGGUGAGCACGGCACAGCCGGACACGCAACGUGACAGGUGACACGGCUGUGACACCGUGUGACACAGUCUGAGGUACAACCCAAAGGUACAACCCAACCUGGUGACCCCACACGGCACAGCCGGACACACAACGUGACAGGUGACAUGGCUGUGACACUGUGUGACACAGUCUGAGGUACAACCCAAAGGUACAACCCAACCCGUGACCCCACACAGCACAGCUGGACACACAACGUGAGAGGUGACACGGCUGUGACACCAUGUGACACAGUCUGAGGUACAAUCCAACCUGUGACCCCACACGGCACAGCCGGACACGCAACGUGAGAGGUGACACGGCUGUGACACCGUGUGACACAAUCAGAGGUACAACCCAAAGGUACAACCCAACCCGUGCCCCCCACACCACAGCCAGCACUGCAGUGACAACGUGACACGAGGUGACACCGAGUGCACGGUGACAACUGAACCCCCCCCCCCACAGAGCAGGGUCUCUGCUACACCCGGUCAUGGCUGUUGUCACCGCUCGUGUCACCGCUUUGUCCCCAUUUUUGUGUUGUGUCACUCAUUGUGUCACUGUUUGUGACUUGUUGAGUCCCUGGUUUGUGUCCCCAUUUCUGGUCGUGUCCCCAGCUGUGCCUGUGGCACUGUGACAUCGUAGCCCCGGUUGUGUCCCCAGUUUUGUGCAGGUUGUGUCACCCCAUCCCCAGUUUUGUCCCCAUCUCUCUCUCGCUGUGUCCUUGAUUGUGUCACUGUAUCCCCGAAUUUGUCCCCAGUUCUGUCUCAUCGUGUCACUUUGUGUCACUUUGUCCCUC